GACGAACGCUGGCGGCGUGCCUAAUACAUGCAAGUCGAACGCAGUGGGGACGGGUGAGUAACACGUGGGUAACCUCCCAUCAGAGGGCAUAACACUUGGAAACAGGUGCUAAACCGAUAUUGGUGUAGGGACCCGCUGUGGAUUAGCUAGUUGGUGAGGGAACGGCUCACCAAGGCCACGAUGCAUAGCAGAUCUGAGAGGGGGAUCGGCCACACUGGGACUGAGACACGGCCCAGACUCCUACGGGAGGCAGCAGUAGGGAAUCUUCGGCAAUGGACGAAAGCCUGACCGAGCAACGCCGCGUGAGUGAAGAAGGUUUUCGGAUCGUAAAACUCUGUUGUUAGAGAAGCGGUAUCUAAACAGAAAGCCACGGCUAACUACGUGCCAGCAGCCGCGGUAAUUC
rnacentral:rRNA from 1 species